AAGUUUAUUAAUUUUUUAUGAUUUAAAAAUUUUAAUAAAAAUAAUUUUUUAUUUUUGUAUAUUCUAUAGAUAUAAUAAUUUUAAUAAUAGUUGAUUUGUAUUGAAAAAGAAUAUUGAAAUAUAUUGAAAAUUUAAUUUAUUAAAAGUAAAAUUUAUUUUUUGUACCUUUUGUAUCAGGGUUUAUUAAAUAAUAUUUAUUUAUAAAUAAAUUUCUCGAAUUUAAAAGAUCUAAUAUUUUAAUAAAUUUAUUGUAAUAUAAAUAUUUUAAAUAAAAUAUUAGUAAUGAAAUGUUUUUCGUUUUUAAAUUUAUCUAGUUAUUUAAGAAAUAAAUUUAAUUUAUAUAUUAAAUUUACUUUAUUUUUAUUUAUUAAUUUAUAGUAAUUUAAUAUAAAUAAUAUAAGGGAUAAGCUUUAUAUUAAUUUUUAUAAUUUUUAUUUUUAAAUAUAAUUUAUAAGCUUAGAAAUAGUUAUUAUUAGAAAAAAUGUUUUAAUUUAUUAAAGAUAAAAUUUUAUUUUUUAAAUUAUUAAUUUAAAUUUUUUAUUAAAUUAUUUAUUUGAAUAUUUUUAAAUAAAUUAAUAAUGAUAAAAUUAGUAAAUUAUAUUGUUAAAUAAAUUUUAUUUAUUAAGAUUAAUAAAAGGAAUUCGGCAAUAAAUAAUGCUCGCCUGUUUAACAAAAACAUGUCUUUUUGAAUAUAAUUUAAAGUCUAACCUGCCCACUGAUUUUAUAAUUGAAGGGCCGCAGUAUUUUGACUGUGCAAAGGUAGCAUAAUCAUUAGUUUUUUAAUUGAGGACUUGUAUGAAUGGUUGGACGAGGUAUUAACUGUCUCUAUUUAAUAAAUGAUUGAAUUUAAUUUUUGAAUUAAAAAGUUUAAAUUUAAUUAAAAGACGAGAAGACCCUAUAGAUCUUUAUAUUUUAAUUAUUAAAAAAUUAUUAGAAUUAUAAUAUUUAUUAAUAUUUAAAUUAUUUUAUUGGGGUGAUGUAAAAAUUUAUAUAACUUUUUAUUUUUAUAAACAUUAAUUUAUGAAUAAAUGAUCCAAUUUUAUUGAUUAUAAGAUUAAGUUACCUUAGGGAUAACAGCGUAAUUUUAUUGGAGAGUUCAUAUCGAUAAUAAAGAUUGCGACCUCGAUGUUGAAUUAAGAGUAAUUUUAGGUGUAGAAGUUUAAAAUUUUAGUCUGUUCGACUAUUAAAUUCUUACAUGAUUUGAGUUCAAAUCGGCGUAAGCCAGAUUGGUUUCUAUCUUUAAUUAUUUAAUAUAUUUUAGUACGAAAGGACCAAAUAUAUAAAUUAUAUUUUAAGUGAUGAAUUAUAUUAAUAUU
rnacentral:rRNA from 1 species